UCAUAAACAAUUUGGUAAUUAAUCAUUGAAAAUAAUAAAGUUAAUGCUUUGUAUAUACAUUCUAACAGUCUAAAGUAGAGAUUGGAAGAGAAAAAGUUAAAGAUUGAAUGAGUGUUUAGUCAAAUUGAUCGACAUUAUUGAAAACCAAGAGAAAUCGAUCGAGCUAAAUAACAUUGAGCACUUGAAUAAUUAUAAUUUAGACGGAAAAAUAAAUAGUUUCCGAACAACAUGGAGACAUAUGUCCUUGACUUUUUAAUCUGAGAAAUGUUCAAAUAGAUUAAACCUCUAGUGUAUCCUUACCAUGAUAGCCAAAAAUAAAUCCAAUCAAAUUUAUCAUUCUGAAUAAUUGGGAUCGCAAUUUUUGAUUGAGGCUUUUUGCCUUAGUAUAUUUAGUAACAAAAAUGUCCUUUCUUGGAUUUUUAUAACCAAAGAGAAUAUGUUUUUAUAUCGGGCUAAUCCUAAUAGGGAGUUAUUAUAAUAAGGGAUAUAUAUAUUUGAAAUGUUAUGCUAAUCAUACGUUCGGUAGGUAUGAGUGAAAUCUUCCUUCUAUUUCCUUUUAAGUAUUAGUUGAGUCUUCUUUUGAUAUUUCAGUUUCAGGUUCGCAAUUUUAGGCCAUUGGCAAGGCGAGCGAUUUGAACAUAUGCAUUCGAUUCAUCGAUUCCGUAGAAAAUUGACGAUCAAAUCGGUCAGUACGUUAGUUGCAGUGUAGUAUGACAGCAUGAUAACAUGACAUUAUUAAAUGUUGCAAUGGAAAUGUACAAUAACAAAGUAAGUACAAACAUAUAUUUUUUUUUAUUAAACAAUUAUUAUAGUUAAAAGAAUGAUAAAUGAUGUUUAUAAUAAUUCGUCUCCCCAAAACAAACAAACAAACUAAUGUUUGUUUCUAGAUUCUAAUAUUUACCCUAACACAAUGUACUGUAGAAUUAAAUCAAUUUCAUUCUUUGCUCAACGUAGUUAAUCAAGUAAAAUUCAUUAACUGAUGACCAGGAACAAAUCAGGAAACCGAGUUUUUUUGGCAUCUUUUCUAUUAUAUGUAUAUUGAUUGUCUAUUGUAUAUAUAUAUAUAACUUC
rnacentral:lncRNA from 1 species